rnacentral:rRNA from 1 species
CGGGCUUGAACUGCGCAGGACCGGCCAAGAGAUUGGCUUUCCCUUCGGGGCCUGCGUGGAGGUGCUGCAUGGUUGUCGUCAGCUCGUGCCGUGAGGUGUCGGCUUAAGUGCCAUAACGAGCGCAACCCUUGCCCAUAGUUGCCAUCAGGUCGUGCUGGGCACUCUAUGGGGACUGCCAUCGCAAGAUGCGAGGAAGGUGGGGAUGACGUCAAAUCAGCACGGCCCUUACGUCCGGGGCUACACACGUGUUACAAUGGGGGGAACAGAAGGCGGCUUGCCGGCGACGGUUGGCGAAUCCCCAAACCCCCUCUCAGUUCGGACUGGAGUCUGCAACCCGACUCCACGAAGCUGGAUUCGCUAGUAAUCGCGCAUCAGCCAUGGCGCGGUGAAUACGUUCCCGGGCC